AUACGGAGGGUGCAAGCGUUACUCGGAAUCACUGGGCGUAAAGCGCGCGCAGGCGGGCUGAUAAGUUGGAUGUGAAAGCCUACGGCUCAACCGUAGAACUGCAUCCAAAACUGUUAGUCUAGAGUCUGCGAGGGGAAGAUGGAAUUAGUUGUGUAGGGGUAAAAUCCGUAGAGAUAACUAGGAAUACCAAAAGCGAAGGCGAUCUUCUGGAACAGUACUGACGCUGAGGCGCGAAAGCGUGGGUAGCGAACGGAAUUAGAAACCCUAGUAGUCC
rnacentral:rRNA from 1 species